UACAGAGGUCCCAAGCGUUGUUCGGAUUCAUUGGGCGUAAAGGGUGCGUAGGUGGCGCCGUAAGUGGGGUGUGAAAUCCCGGGGCUUAACUCCGAAACUGCAUUCGAUACUGCCGUGCUUGAGGACUGGAGAGGAGACUGGAAUUUACGGUGUAGCGGUGAAAUGCGUAGAUAUCGUAAGGAAGACCAGUGGCGAAGGCGGGUCUCUGGACAGUUCCUGACGCUGAGCCGCGAAAGCCAGGGGAGCGAACGGG
rnacentral:rRNA from 1 species